rnacentral:rRNA from 1 species
ACGGGUGCGUAACGCGUGGGAAUCUGCCCUUGGGUUCGGAAUAACAGUUAGAAAUGACUGCUAAUACCGGAUGAUGUCUUCGGACCAAAGAUUUAUCGCCCAAGGAUGAGCCCGCGUAAGAUUAGCUAGUUGGUGGGGUAAUGGCCCACCAAGGCGACGAUCUUUAGCUGGUCUGAGAGGAUGAUCAGCCACACUGGGACUGAGACACGGCCCAGACUCCUACGGGAGGCAGCAGUGGGGAAUAUUGGACAAUGGGCGCAAGCCUGAUCCAGCAAUGCCGCGUGAGUGAUGAAGGCCUUAGGGUUGUAAAGCUCUUUUACCAGGGAUGAUAAUGACAGUGCCUGGAGAAUAAGCUCCGGCUAACUCCGUGCCAGCAGCCGCGGUAAUACGGAGGGAGCUAGCGUUGUUCGGAAUUACUGGGCGUAAAGCGUACGUAGGCGGUUAUUCAAGUCAGAGGUGAAAGCCCGGGGCUCAACCCCGGAACGGCCUUUGAAACUAGGUAGCCAGAGUCUUGGAGAGGUUAGUGGAAUUCCGAGUGUAGAGGUGAAAUUCGUAGA